rnacentral:rRNA from 1 species
UACGGAGGGAGCGAACGUUGUUCGGAUUCACUGGGCGUAAAGGGCGUGUAGGCGGUCUGGCAAGUCAGGGGUGAAAUGCCACGGCUCAACCGUGGAAUUGCCUUUGAAACUACCGGACUUGAGGCCGUGAGAGGAGACUGGAAUUCCCAGUGUAGCGGUGAAAUGCAUAGAUAUUGGGAAGAACACCAGUGGCGAAGGCGAGUCUCUGGCACGGUUCUGACGCUGAUGCGCGAAAGCUAGGGGAGCAAAC